GAAAGUAAAAAAGGGCGCAUGGCGGAUGCCUUGGCUCUCGGAGGCGAUGAAGGACGUGAUAAGCUGCGAUAAGCUUUGGGGAGGUGCAAAUGACCUUUGAUCCAGAGAUUUCCGAAUGGGACAACCCAAUAUCUUGAAGAGGUAUUAUCCAACGUUGUUGGAGGCUAACGCAGGGAACUGAAACAUCUUAGUACCUGCAGGAAAAGAAAAUAAACAAUGAUUCCCCCAGUAGUGGCGAGCGAACGGGGAACAGCCCAAACCAUCCAUGUUACGGCAUGGGUGGGGUUGUAGGACUACGCCGUUGCAUGAAGACAUCAGAGAAGAACUUUCUGGAAAGAAAGACCAUAGAGCAUGACAGUUGCGUAUUCGAAUGUUGUCUAAGCAUAGUAGUAUCCUGAGUAGCGCGGAGCACGAGGAAUUCUGCGUGAAUCUGCCGGGACCAUCCGGUAAGGCUAAAUACUCCCGAGAGACCGAUAGCGAACCAGUACCGUGAGGGAAAGGUGAAAAGCACUUCGAACAGAAGAGUGAAAUAGUUCCUGAAACCGUGCGCCUACAAGCGGUCGGAGCUCGUUAAUGAGUGACGGCGUGCCUUUUGCAUAAUGAACCUACGAGUUGCCUUUGCCGGCAAGGUUAAGUGUGACGACACACGUAUCCGAAGCGAAAGCGAGUCUGAACAGGGCGUAUAGUCGGCAGUGGCAGACGCGAAACCAAGUGAUCUACCCUUGGCCAGGUUGAAGGCUGGGUAACACCAGCUGGAGGACCGCACCAAUAAGCGUUGAAAAGCUUCUGGAUGAGCUGAGGGUAGGGGUGAAAGGCUAAUCAAACUUGGAGAUAGCUCGUACUCCCCGAAAUGCAUUUAGGUGCAGCCUUGCGGGUUACUGAUGUGAGGUAGAGCGACUGAUAAGAUGCGAGGGCUUCACCGCCUAUCAAGUCUUGACAAACUCCGAAUGCGCAUCAGUUCUACCGCAGGAGUGAGGGCAUGGGUGCUAAGGUCCGUGCCCGAGAGGAGAAGAAUCCGGACCACCUGCUAAGGUCCCGAAAUGACAGCUAAGUUAAACUAACGAAGUCUGACUGCUAAGACAGCUAGGAUGUUGGCUUGGAAGCAGCCAUUCAUUUAAAGAGUGCGUAACAGCUCACUAGUCGAGGAGUCGGGCGUGGAUAAUAAUCGGGUAUUAAGUUGUCUACCGAAGCAGUGGGAUCAUUAAUAUGAUCGGUAGGGGAGCAUUCCAGUCAGCGUCGAAGGCGUACCGUGAGGUAUUCUGGAGCGUCUGGAAAAGCAAAUGUAGGUAUAAGUAACGAUAAAGGGGGCGGGAAACCCCCUCGCCGAAAGACUAAGGUUUCCUGAUCAACGCUAAUCGGAUCAGGGUCAGUCGGGUCCUAAGGCUCAGCCGAACGGCGAUGCCGAUGGCAGAAACGGUUAAUAUUCCGUUACUACCUUCAGGAGUGACGUGGAGACGCAGUAGUGACAGUGCCGCCAUCUGACGGAAUAGAUGGUUGAAGGGUGUAGGAGUCGAUCAUGGCAGGCAAAUCCACCAUGAGAUCCGAACCUGACAGUAUGCCGCGUCCUUCGGGACAAGGCAAUAGUGCGCGUAAGCAUGCUGCCGAGAAAAUCCGCUAAACUUAAUCCUGCAGGUACCCGUACCGCAAACGGACACACGUAGUCGGGAUGAAUAUUCUAAGGCGCUUGAGUGAUUCACGGUUAAGGAACUAGGCAAACUGACCCUGUAACUUCGGGAUAAAGGGUCCCUACCCUUUUAUGGGAGGGCGCAGAGAAUCGGUCCAGGCAACUGUUUAACAAAAACACAGGGCUGUGCCAAAUCGAAAGAUCCAGUAUACAGCCUGACACCUGCCCGGUGCUGGAAGGUUAAGAGGAGAUGUCAUCGAUAAGAGAAGCGUUGAAUUGAAGCCCCAGUAAACGGCGGCCGUAACUAUAACGGUCCUAAGGUAGCGAAAUUCCUUGUCGGGUAAGUUCCGACCUGCACGAAUGGUGUAAUGAUCUGGACGCUGUCUCAACCGUGAGCUCAGUGAAAUUGUAGUAUCGGUGAAGAUGCCGAUUACCCGCGAUGGGACGAAAAGACCCCGUGAACCUUUACUAUAGCUUAUCAUUGAAUCUGGGCACGUGAUGUGUAGGAUAGGUCGGAGGCUUUGAAGCAGGUACGCCAGUAUUUGUGGAGCCGCUGUUGAAAUACGACCCUUUAUUUGUUUGGAUUCUAACCCGUGGAACGGGGACAUUGAUUGGUGGGUAGUUUGACUGGGGUGGUCGCCUCCAAAAGCGUAACGGAGGCUUCUAAAGGUGCCCUCCGGCCGAUUGGUAACCGGCCUUAGAGUGUAAUGGCAUAAGGGCGCUUGACUGGGAGACUGACAAGUCGAUCAGGUAGGAAACUAGAGCAUAGUGAUCCGGUGUUUCCGUAUGGAAGGGACAUCGCUCAAAGGAUAAAAGGUACUCCGGGGAUAACAGGCUGAUCCCUCCCAAGAGCUCAUAUCGACGGAGUGGUUUGGCACCUCGAUGUCGGCUCGUCACAUCCUGGGGCUGGAGAAGGUCCCAAGGGUUGGGCUGUUCGCCCAUUAAAGUGGCACGCGAGCUGGGUUCAG
rnacentral:rRNA from 1 species